UGCACAUCGAGCUCCUCCGGGUCGUGCUCAGCUUCAGUGUCCUUCUGUCGUCCUAUCAGUGCAUCGGAUGUGGUCUUGGACAUCUCUCCCAUCUGCAGUGCUUUUGGGGGAAAACAAGCAGAGCGCAGAUGGUUGCCACUGCUCCAAAGACAUCUGCCAGCAGUUCCCCUCUCACAUCACAUCCAGUCCAGGAGUGCUCAGGACAACUUUGGGAUCGCUGCCACCGCUGGGAUGGUUUCUAACAGCCUCAGAUCCCACCCAGACACUUAGAAAGCAUUUCAACGCUUUCUUACAUAGCAUUCUCAUAAAGGUUUAGUAGCACGUUACCAAUCAAACCAGUUAAACUCAUUACCUCUAACGAGGAGUAAUUAGCAAUUACAGUUAAACCGAAUAAAGCAGCACACAGACAGUUUUCCAGAGGACCUUCAUGCUCCUGCCCCACUAUUGUAGCACUGGGCUCACCCAGCCCCUUCCCCACCCACAGAGGAGCACAGAGCAUCCCUUCCAGCUCAGUCUGCUUGAAGACCGUGGGGAUGGGCUGUCCUCCCCCACCAUUCCCAUUAUCCUAUAACCCAUUUGCUCUUUCACAACGUUUCUGCAGCAGGAUUCCAUUUGCUCUCCAUACAGCUCCCUGUGGCAGCCCUCAUUUAGUCGAUGCCUUCAGUGCUGAAGCUGCUGCAUUCAGAUAUGUCAGUCUAAAAGCAGCACACAGAGACAGAUUAAAUACAGCCAAGCAAUUCUACCAGAACUAAGUUAGAUGCCUCUGUUUAUUUGACAUAGCAUGAAGGGGAAAAGCACGUACAACCCACAAAUCAAAGAUCAGCUUUGUUGGAGCUCUAUGAAUAAAAUAGGAUAUUUCCAGCCAUCCUCCUGCAGCACAUUUCCAUAUAUAUUGCACAGAGUAAACGAAUCACUUCUGGCACUGAAAUAUUGUGCAUGACUGCAUGCAACAGCUGCUCCUUCGUGCAUCGGUCGCCUGUGAAUAGAUUUUUAUUACAAGAUGCACCAUCCCAAUGGGGGUGGAAAUAAACCCCAGCGAGCACAGACUGCUUGGCUUAAGGAGCAGGAAUCUUGCCUGGAGACACACCUCAUUUGCUUCCCCUUACAAGGCUCUGGAUCUCCCUGUUAUGCCUUUCCAGUGUGAGCAAUGCUCUCUGCUCACUGUACACGAGUACAGCAAUCAGGACACGAUAAAGCACAACCACCUCGAUGGCAUCCACAGCCCGUUUCCAUUGGGUCCCAAGGGACCCAAAAUCCCAGCCAGAGGCACACACAGACAUCUCCAGUAAAACACUGUGCUGAAGGGGGAGGUCAGGAAGAUGAGGUUCACCCAUACAGGGGUGGCAGCGCUCCAGAGGACACCCCUUACUUGCUCACAUGGCCAGGAGGAAGCCUGCUCUCUGUGUGCUGUCCAUGGAGUGCAGCCUUCCCCACUGUGACAUCGCUGCUCUCCACGGCAACCGAUGGAGAAGUCAAUGGGAAAGAAACCUUUCCAAGGGGUAAUGCUUCAAAAGAAGUUGGAAACCAUCCGAACCAUCACAGGAGGUCAACACUGAGAGGCUGCAUUGGAGGAGAGGUGCAAAUGAAUGCACGGGGGGAGCUCAUUGCCCAAGGAGGCUGUGGAUGCCCCAUCCCUGCAGGCAUUCAAGGCCAGGCUGGAUGUGGCUCUGGGCAGCCUGGGCUGCUGGUUGGCGACCCUGCACAUAGCAGGGGGUUGGAACUGAUAAGCAUUGGGGUCUUUUUCAACCCAGGCCAUGCUAUGAGUCUAUGAUUCUAAUAGGGGGUGUUGGUGUUGUGACCCCCGGGCUGAAGGUUUCAGGAAGAAGCCACAGCACUGAUGGAUACUCGCUCACUUUAAUGCACGGAUAGGCAGAAAAGGGGACACAUAAAGUCACCCUGAAGGGCCGAUGUUCCUCUGCUCAGUGCAGCUCACAGCAGGGCAGGGCGAGGGAAGCAAUGCUCUGCGCAGAGCUCAUCAGCAGCCCUCUGACCCUGAAACAGACCAAACAAAAAACCCCAAACCACGCAUUAAAACACAAAGAAAAGCCUUUCGGCGACGCUUGCUUUUGAAACUACUGAGCAGACGCAUUCCACUCUCCCUCAUUCCAACCCCACAGCAGGAUCCGUCCUGCAGCCACCCCACCCCAAUUCCAGGGAGCGCAGUGCCGUGGAGGACGCAUCCAAAAAGCGAUCAUUUCCCCUCCCAGCCCCUUUGUCUUAAUGAAAAUCCUAACAGCAGAGGGAAAACAGAGCACUGCGACGCUGUAUCCGUGCCGCGGCUCAGACUUUGCCCCCCUCUUUUCCUCUCUAUGCAUCCCCCGAGCAGAACAACGCUCUCCUGGAGUGAAAAAGUGAACCCGCCACGGGAACACAGUGACCCCGACGUGAUUCGAACACGCAGCCUUCUGAUCUGGAGUCAGACGCGCUACCGUUGCGCCACGAGGUCCCGGAAAACCAACUCUCCGCCUGCCUCCAAGAGCCUACGCUCCACCCCGCGCAUGCGCACAAGCGAAACAUCCAACAGCCGUUCCGCGGCUCUCCAGCCGCCGCAAAGCCCCCCAAAGGCCUCCGCUGCCGCUGCCGCUGCCGCCCCCUCGGAGACUCCUCGCCCCCCCCCGGGGGCCGCCCCCAGGACCGCUGACUCCCGU
ensembl:lncRNA